GAUGAACGCUGGCGGCGUGCUUAACACAUGCAAGUCGAACGAAGCACUUUAUUUGAUUUCCUUCGGGACUGAUUAUUUUGUGACUGAGUGGCGGACGGGUGAGUAACGCGUGGGUAACCUGCCUUUUACAGGGGGAUAACAGUUGGAAACGGCUGCUAAUACCGCAUAAGCGCACAGCAUCGCAUGAUGCAGUGUGAAAAACUCCGGUGGUAUAAGAUGGACCCGCGUUGGAUUAGCUAGUUGGUGAGGUAACGGCCCACCAAGGCGACGAUCCAUAGCCGACCUGAGAGGGUGACCGGCCACAUUGGGACUGAGACACGGCCCAAACUCCUACGGGAGGCAGCAGUGGGGAAUAUUGCACAAUGGGCGAAAGCCUGAUGCAGCGACGCCGCGUGAGCGAAGAAGUAUUUCGGUAUGUAAAGCUCUAUCAGCAGGGAAGAUAAUGACGGUACCUGACUAAGAAGCACCGGCUAAAUACGUG
rnacentral:rRNA from 1 species